GACCACACCCAUAUUAAAUGCUCUAGGAAAGGCUUGAUAUAAAGAUUUUGAGAAAGAUUUCAACAAUUCCCUACAUUAUUAUACUCAGACUCCUUUUUGCUGGGUUAAUCCUUUGUUUUGGGCUGGUUGUUGAAGAAGUCUGGAUCCAUGGGAAUGUGACUCCUACAAAUUCUUAAUAAAGUGGCUAAGAGGAAGAUAUGGUCUGUCACUGUGCCUGUGGUGGGUGCAGACAUUGAAAUGUCUUUGGUGGAGAUCAUCAUUCAUUACUAACUCAAUUUCUAACAGUAAGAACUACAAGCCAUCUUUUUCAGAGGCUAUUGGUAGUAUGGCAUGGUUAUGUCCACUAAUGUGGUGCGCCCAUCUCUCCACCAUCAGUGGAUGUGGUUAUAUGACUAUUUUGUUUCUCUCUCUCUCUCUCCAUCUUUCCCCUGUGUUGAUUUAUUUGUUUUUUUCUCUCAAUCCUCUGGAUUUUCCUUUUUUCAUUGUCUUUUUUGUGUUAUUUUGUUUUAACAUUGUUAGUAUGAUUAUUAAUAA